AUGGAUGAGCCAGAUAGCUUAGACCCCGACAACAGUCUGAAGAGGAUGGAUGAGCCAGAUAGCUCAGACCCCGACAACAGUUUGAAAGGGAUGGAUGAGCCAGAUAGCUCAGACCCCGACAACAGUUUGAAGAGGAUGGAUGAGCCAGGAAGCUCCGACCCCGACAACAGUCAAGUUUAUUCUCUUAUAUCAGAAUGUGACCUCUUCAGAAAUCUAAAACUGUUGGACCAGGACCAGGAAUGGAUGCCGGAUGAAGACACGGUUCUGUUCAGCAGAACCUCAGGCUCCUCUUCCCAAGCCCCGUCAUCCAUUGUCAGUCUCUGCGACCCCAUGGCUCAGUACCUGAAUGAGGAAUUCAAAGCUUUCCUUGAGAGAAGAGGGACCUACAAGGAGCUAGAGACGGUAGUUUCCAAAGUCCUGCUGAAACUUCUCCAGGCCAGAAAAGCAGACGGGGCCCUGCUGUUUAUCAGCCCUACACCUGAUAACUCUGCCCUCCAUGAUCAGAAGAAGACAUCAACGUUAGACAAGGAGAUGAAUGUAUCUCCAUUGAAUGUAACUGCUGCUGGUCCUUUGGCGGUUGACGCCUUUCCAUCACCCACACCUAAAUAUGUUGUGAUCUCUUCGGUCGAAGGACUUGACCUGGACCCCUCGACCAAUCAGUGCACAGGAAACACGAAAGAGGUACCAGAGGAGCAGUCGUCAACCAUUCUGCGGAUGGAGCAACAGGACUGGCUGAAUAAGAUGGCCUUUGACACCCAUGCCGAUGCAAAGGCAGACUACAUUAACCCUGAGCUUUUCAACAAAAAGAAGCUUGGCCAGACCCCUCAUCACAGGUACACAGGCCGUCUCCCUCCAGUGAGCAACGGCUCCCGGGGUUCGGACUCUACCACUACGACUCUGAGGGGGAUCCUCCAGGCCGCCCUGUCCAGCCUUAACAGACAGACCAGGAGGGAGAUAUACCUCUCCCAGAAACUGGGAAGGAUCGUCAUCCCUUUCUCUGGGACACGAUAG
rnacentral:lncRNA from 13 species